GUACCGCUGAAGAGUCCCAAACUAGGACGAAGCAAUUGUCCAGUAC
rnacentral:hammerhead_ribozyme from 1 species